rnacentral:rRNA from 1 species
CAGCCGCCGCGGUAAUACCGGCGGCCCGAGUGGCGGUCACUAUUAUUGGGCUUAAAGCGUCCGUAGCCGGGUUGGGAAGUCCUCCGGGAAAUCUGGCCGCUUAACGGUCCGAAUGCCGGAGGAUACUCCCAGCCUAGGGAGCGGGAGAGGCCGAGGGUAUUCCCGGAGUAGGGGUGAAAUCCUAUAAUCCCGGGAGGACCACCUGUGGGGAAGGCGCUCGGCUGGAACGCGUCCGACGGUGAGGGACGAAGGCCAGGGGAGCAAACCGGAUUAGAUACCCGGGUAGUCCUGGCUGUAAACGAUGCGGACUUUGUGUCGGACAAGCUAUGAGCUUGUCCGGUGCCGGAGGGAAACCGUUAAGUCCGCCGCCUGGGGAGUACGGCCGCAAGGCUGAAACUUAAAGGAAUUGGCGGG